ACGCUGGCGGCGUGCCUAAUACAUGCAAGUAGAACGCUGAAGAGAGGAGCUUGCUCUUCUUGGAUGAGUUGCGAACGGGUGAGUAACGCGUAGGUAACCUGCCUUGUAGCGGGGGAUAACUAUUGGAAACGAUAGCUAAUACCGCAUAACAAUGGGUGACACAUGUCAUUUAUUUGAAAGGGGCAAUUGCUCCACUACAAGAUGGACCUGCGUUGUAUUAGCUAGUAGGUGAGGUAACGGCUCACCUAGGCGACGAUACAUAGCCGACCUGAGAGGGUGAUCGGCCACACUGGGACUGAGACACGGCCCAGACUCCUACGGGAGGCAGCAGUAGGGAAUCUUCGGCAAUGGGGGCAACCCUGACCGAGCAACGCCGCGUGAGUGAAGAAGGUUUUCGGAUCGUAAAGCUCUGUUGUAAGUCAAGAACGAGUGUGAGAGUGGAAAGUUCACACUGUGACGGUAGCUUACCAGAAAGGGACGGCUAACUACCUGCCAGCAGCCGCGGUAAUACGUACGUCCCGAGCGUUGUCCGGAUUUAUUGGGCGUAAAGCGAGCGCAGGCGGUUUGAUAAGUCUGAAGUUAAAGGCUGUGGCUCAACCAUAGUUCGCUUUGGAAACUGUCAAACUUGAGUGCAGAAGGGGAGAGUGGAAUUCCAUGUGUAGCGGUGAAAUGCGUAGAUAUAUGGAGGAACACCGGUGGCGAAAGCGGCUCUCUGGUCUGUAACUGACGCUGAGGCUCGAAAGCGUGGGGAGCGAACAGGAUUAGAUACCCUGGUAGUCCACGCCGUAAACGAUGAGUGCUAGGUGUUGGAUCCUUUCCGGGAUUCAGUGCCGCAGCUAACGCAUUAAGCACUCCGCCUGGGGAGUACGACCGCAAGGUUGAAACUCAAAGGAAUUGACCG
rnacentral:rRNA from 1 species